ACUCGAGUGGCGAACGGGUGAGUAACACGUGGGUGAUCUGCCCUGCACUUCGGGAUAAGCCUGGGAAACUGGGUCUAAUACCGGAUAGGAGCCAUUUUUAGUGUGAUGGUUGGAAAGUUUUUCGGUGUAGGAUGAGCUCGCGGCCUAUCAGCUUGUUGGUGGGGUAAUGGCCUACCAAGGCGGCGACGGGUAGCCGACCUGAGAGGGUGGACGGCCACAUUGGGACUGAGAUACGGCCCAG
rnacentral:rRNA from 1 species